rnacentral:rRNA from 1 species
CAGCAGCCGCGGGAAUACGGAGGGUGCAAGCGUUAUCCGGAUUCACUGGGUUUAAAGGGUGCGUAGGCGGGCAGGUAAGUCAGUGGUGAAAUCUUCGAGCUUAACUCGGAAACUGCCGUUGAUACUAUCUGUCUUGAAUAACGUUGAGGUGAGCGGAAUAUGUCAUGUAGCGGUGAAAUGCUUAGAUAUGACAUAGAACACCGAUUGCGAAGGCAGCUCACUAAACGCUCAUUGACGCUGAGGCACGAAAGCGUGGGGAUCAAACAGGAUUAGAUACCCCCGUAGUCCCUGUCUCUUAUAC